UAGGGAAUCUUCCGCAAUGGGCGAAAGCCUGACGGAGCAACGCCGCGUGAGUGAUGAAGGUCUUCGGAUCGUAAAACUCUGUUAUUAGGGAAGAACAAAUGUGUAAGUAACUAUGCACGUCUUGACGGUACCUAAUCAGAAAGCCACGGCUAACUACGUGCCAGCAGCCGCGGUAAUACGUAGGUGGCAAGCGUUAUCCGGAAUUAUUGGGCGUAAAGCGCGCGUAGGCGGUUUUUUAAGUCUGAUGUGAAAGCCCACGGCUCAACCGUGGAGGGUCAUUGGAAACUGGAAAACUUGAGUGCAGAAGAGGAAAGUGGAAUUCCAUGUGUAGCGGUGAAAUUCGCAGAGAUAUGGAGGAACACCAGUGGCGAAGGCGACUUUCUGGUCUGUAACUGACGCUGAUGUGCGAAAGCGUGGGGAUCAAACAGG
rnacentral:rRNA from 1 species